AGAGUUUGAUCCUGGCUCAGAACGAACGCUGGCGGCAGGCUUAACACAUGCAAGUCGAGCGCCCCGCAAGGGGAGCGGCAGACGGGUGAGUAACGCGUGGGAAUCUACCUUUUGCUACGGAACAACAGUUGGAAACGACUGCUAAUACCGUAUGUGCCCUUCGGGGGAAAGAUUUAUCGGCAAAGGAUGAGCCCGCGUUGGAUUAGCUAGUUGGUGAGGUAAAGGCUCACCGAGGCGACGAUCCAUAGCUGGUCUGAGAGGAUGAUCAGCCACACUGGGACUGAGACACGGCCCAGACUCCUACGGGAGGCAGCAGUGGGGAAUAUUGGACAAUGGGCGCAAGCCUGAUCCAGCAAUGCCGCGUGGGUGAAGAAGGCCUUCGGGUUGUAAAGCCCUUUUGU
rnacentral:rRNA from 1 species